UAAGCCGUCUAGAAAAACACAUUCGAAAGUCAAUUGCAAAAUUAACCUCUGCAUUGACCAGAAGAAUUCCAUGUAAGUCGUCUACAGCCAGAAGACUUACCCGGAAGUCGUCUGGACGAACAGAUCUUGAAAAAAACUAAUUUUAUAGUUUCAACCAGUGAGAUAACUUGUUUAGCACACAAAAGUCUUCUCCGAACACCCAUAAUCUCAAAAAAGUGACCCCGCAAGAAUCGUAAGUUUCAAUGGCUCUAUGAACCGUAAAGUUUUUAGAAUCAAAAUCUUGGGUUUUUUUUGGAUGAAUAUGGAGAAAAAGUAAAGAUAUGUUGUUUUUGGUUCAUAAGAAUUGAGAAAGAAAGAGUGUAAAUCGAUUUUUAGGUGCAUUAAAAACUUCAGAUUGUUUGUUCAUGGUGGUUGGUGUAUUGAAGGCAAUGACAACAUUGUGAAUACUUGAGGAAGAUGAGGGUGAUAGAGUAAAACAUGCAUUUUCAAAAAAAAAAUGAUAGUAUUUUCGCAAUAAUCUGAACUUUGGAGAUGAAAGAGACAAGUCAAAGUUCCAAAAAAAAAACUUGGGUUAGUUUUGUGUUUGAGUUCAAAUUUUGAGUUAUAUUUGCGAAAACCCCUUUUAUCUUUCAUCUUUAGUUAAUUGAUUCAACUUCAUUAUUAUCUUUUUAUUAUAACACCUAAGGACAUGGAUAUGGACUACAUCAUUUUCUCUCUCUCUAUAUAAAAAUAUCAUUUUGUCUUUGUUCAGAUAUACCAUAUCACAUAAAUCAAAAUGUGAAUAAACUGUGAGAUGCCAAAUUAUUUAGGAAAUUGAAUAAUGCAGUUUUUUUUUUUUUUUGUCAGCGAUAGAGAACUUUCGAGACCUUAUAGUUGUCCCAGUUUGCGAAAUUCAAGAAAAGUACCAUAUACAAUACAUAUAUGAUGUGUUAUAUAUAUUUGAAUAUUCAUGAAUUACAUAUAUGAUGUGUUAUAUAUAUUUGAAUAUUCAUGAAUAGUAUAGGAUCAAUACUGUUAAAUGUAUUUCUGUUAUAUAGUUAUAUUAACUUCUAACCAAAAUUAAUAAAAUAUAUAUCACAAAAUAAUAUACUAAUUUUAUUUGUUAUACGUGCAUCUGAGUACAUGUACCAAAUGAUAAUGUACUAAUUUUUAUGGUUUACAUUUAAAAAUUCAACAAUAAUAUACAAAUGAUAUUUUUAAUCAUCAUCAUGUAUCAAAACAACUCUUUAAAUUAAAAUAUAAUAUAAUUCAAAUUUUGAAACAAUAUACAUAACCAACUUUAAUUAAUUUACCCAUAUAUAAAAGAAUGGAGUUUAAUCAUGGGUUACCAAAAUCAAAAAAUUAUUUAAAUAAUAAAGAAAGUCUAACAAAUAUACGACUCAAAAAGUAGAGUUUCGAUACAUAUGGAUCAAAAUUUGCUUAUUAAAUAUACAUAAAUAAGUUAAACUCCAUUCUUUUAUAUAUGAAUGAGUCGUUUGCUAUAAAUAAAUUUCGUUUGCUCUAUAUACGGGUCAAAAUUUUCAACACUUUAGAUAAUAUUAUAAAGUUUUAAAUAAAAUAAAUUAUACUAGAAUACGUUUUAUCGGAUAUAUGUUUAAAUUAAUUGUAAUUCCUAUCUAAAUCAACAUUACAUUAAAUAUAUGCUCUUACAAAACUAUAAUUUUACAGAAAUCCUAAUUAACAAAUAUUUAUUUAUAAAUUAAUAUUUAAAAACUUAAAAUCAAUUUUUUAAACUGGCCUACGAUUAAUGUGUAGACAUUUUUAUAGUUACCAAUUUCACGAGUUAUCUAAUAGAAUAUAUAAAAUAUAUAAGUAGAGGCGAGCUGAACAAACAAUUUUUACUGCUAUUAUGAACUACCAAAUGAGUUAAUAAUUUUUUCAAAAAAUAAUAAUUAUAUGCUUUGAAAGCGCGGAUCAAAAUCUAGUGCUUACUUAAAUUUAUUAAUUUUGAUUAAAAACAUAAUCAUUAAACAAGCAUAGUUAGAAUUUAUUAUCGUCUCAUUUUCAAAUUUCAUAGCUGAAAGAAAGCAAAUUUAACCUGGUCUUCUUUGUGUUCAGAAAAAAAUAUGGACCAAAAUUUGAUUUUUACGCAGACACAAUCAUCAAUGUUUACAAGAACUUUGGGUAAAAGUGAAAAAAAUAUUAAGAAUAUGUUUCAAUAUAGAGUACACAUACAAUCCAUAAACCACAUGUAUUUUUCAUAUUAUGUUGGUUAUUUAAGUUAUAACUAGAUCUUGGUCCGCGCAACCGCGGGUGUUUUCACUUUUAUCUAUAUAUAUAUAUAUUAAAUGUUUAUAUUAUUUUUUCAAAUCCAAUAAUUUUGUUGUUUACAUUUUUUUCUAUUAUAUUAAUUGUUUGAAUCCACUACAUGUAUUUUUGUUUCUUCUUAUUAUAAAUAUAUCUUAUUUGAUUUUUACUUAAUUAUUAGAGAAAUAAUAUAUACUUUCUUAAAAAAAUUAAAAUUAUUUUACAUUUAACAUCUAAUUAUCAAAAUUAAAUUUAAAUGUAUUUUUAAUUUAAGUUUUAAAUAAUAAACAAUUUUAUUUGAUAAAUUUAUUUGAUAGUUUUAACAAUUAAAAAACAUUUGUAUACACUAAUCUUUAAGCAUUUAGUAUUAGUUACUAGAACAUAUGAUAAAAUGAACUAAUGAAUUUUAAACAAAAAACAUUGAUAAUUGUUUUUAAUAAGUUACAAUUGAAGGUAUAUUAUUAAAAUAUAAGUUUAUAUGUAAUGUAAUUCAAACAUAUACAAAUUUAAAUAAGCCUUUACAACAAUAUAUAAAUCUUAUCUAUUAAAACAUUAUAUAUCUUAUAAAUGGGCCAAUGAUAGGGUGGGCAAAAAAUCUGAACCAAACCAAACCAAACCGACCCAACCAAACUCAAACCGAUCUAAACCAAACCAAAAUAUAUUUCCAAACCAUUUGGUUAAAGGUUUUAUCAAUCCAAAUGGUUUGGUUUUGUUAAAAAAAACGAAGUGGUUAUUGAAUUAUAUUAACUAAUUAUAUUAAUAAUAUUAAAAUUUAAGAUAUUUCUUUACAUUUUUACCACAAAAAUAAGAUAUUUAACCAUCUAACCUAAACAACUAUUUUUUAUACAUUUUACUUAUAAAUAAAUAGAAGAAAUAUAUUAACAAUAAAAUAGAAAUAUAAAUAUCAUAAACUAUCACCAAAACAAAAAAAACUACUUGUGAUAUAUAUAUAUAUAUAUAUAUAUAUCUAUAUAUAUGUUUAUCAUAAACUAUGACCAAAUCAUAAAAAAUACUAUGCAAUAGCUUAUAAGUUAGUUUCUUAUGUACAAUUGUUUAUAUGGUUAAUUUGGAAAAAAACAUAAGAUGUGUUUAUAUUUCUUUAUAAUAGUAGAUUGGACUUUAGAUAACGAUUAAUGUUUUAACGAAUAUAAGUAAUGAUCUUAGGAGUAUCUUUUAUGUUUUGUAUAUAUGUGUUUUCAGAUAAUUUAAAAUUUGAAAUGCACGGUUCAAGAUUCUUAAAAUACACAUUAAUGGCUUCCUUCCAAUCUUAUAGGAAAAUAGUUAUUAUAGUCAAUAAUAUAUGAGGUGAUUUUAGUAAUGAUGCCAAAAUGUUAUUAAGAAAUUAAUGAAAUAUGAUUUUUUAGUAAUGGUCUAUUUUCAAAAAUAUCACACAUGAAUCAAGGUUGUGACUUCUUAUUUAGAUUUUUGUAAGACAUAAUACGAUCAUGUAGUAUAUAUCUCAAUAUUUAUAUUCCAUGAAAAAGAUAAUGAAUUGGUUUGGCCUAGUGGUAAAUGGGUUCCAGCUGGAGAUUCCUCCCGGAGUUUGAUUCCUCUUGGCCAUCUAUAGAUGCUUUAAGUGGCAAAAAAAACUCGGAUUUCUAUUGGUCACUUGGUUAUUAGUCUUUGGGCAUAGAAAAUAUUUGGCAUCACACCAUUAUCAAAAAAAAAAAAUUAAAGUUUGUAUGGAAUAUAUAAAAAUUAAUCUUCUAAAUUUAGUAAUAAUAGUUUGCGUGACGAUUUUCGAGAGUCUCUUCACUCGCCAUCUUCACUCGCCAUCUUCACUAUAAAUACAUGCUCUUAAGCUUACACAUCCUUCACGAAAAAAAAAAACCUUUUUUCUUCUGAUUACUUAUAACUUUAUAAGUGUGUUUGCGUAACUAGCAAAAGAAAAAUAAAAAACAUGGCAAGCUCCAAAUUUCUUGUUGUCUUGGCUUUGUUCUUUACAUGCUUAUCUCUAAAUUCAGCCAACUAUCGAAACAAACCCUGGGAACAAACUGAAAUGGUGAAUCCCAAUGGUGCUAUUGAUACCAAUGGGAAAGAGCCAGGGGAAUGAGGUGGAGGAUACGUAGGUUGGUGCAGGCACGGUUGCUGCUAUACGGGACGCAAUGGCUGCAUCCAAUGCUGUAGGUACGCCAACGAGCAAACUAACAAUGUGGGGAUGCAGAAACGCAGCCGUGGACAAGUGGAAAAGAAAUCAUCAGAGGAAGAGGAGGCUUCUCCAGUUUGGACUCAGAGCCGACACUGAAAAAGGAGCUAAACCAUAUAGACAUGUUACCGUUUAACGUAUGGCCACUUUAAGCUGCUUGUUUAAUAAAAUAAAAUGAAAACAUGAACGUAUCUUAGAUGGUACAUGGAAUAAAGUAAUUGUCCAAAAUAAAUAAAAAAGGUAAGUAUCCGUUUGUAUAUGUUGUCUGCAUGCGCAGCUCUAUAUAUGUGUUUGUU